UAGUGAGGUAAAACUAAAGUACAGAUUAUCCAGGCAGCCAAUAAAUGAUUUGCACGACCUCAUUGAAGACGACAUUAAACCAAAAACCAUGCGAAUUCAUGCCACUCCAGUGAUGACAAAGCUCCUCAUAACACCGCAGUUGUUGGCGAAAGGGGAAUUCUAAAGUGAGGGUGGACUUGUUUAUGGCGUCUCCAGAAGCUCUGUAUGUGUAUGAUACUAUCUGUUUGGCAAAUGCCUUCAUAAAACAGGAGGAUUUUUGCAGAUCACCCCAGAGAAGU